UGAAUAUUCUUACAAUAUAGUUAUUUGCAUAAGUUCAACAAGAUUCUUUUCUCCUUCUAACAGACACAGUUAGAAACACUGAUUAUACUCUGAAGGCUUGAACUGGAAUAUAUAUUUGAGAAUGCACAUAGAAGGAACUAAGGUUCACUUUAUGGAGCCAAUGAAACACCUUGGAAAACCAGCCUGGUACCUGCUUACAGGGUUCCCAGCUAGCAGCUUUGCCAGAAAUGUAUCUGAUUGCCUACACAAUAUAGGCCUAACUUUAGGAGCAAACCUGUAUCACCACCUCCUGCAACCAGAGACACUGUUUAAACAGACCUAUUCUCGGCACUAACAGGCUGCUUCAGUGAGCUGGAACCAUCUACCCACUCAGCUUUUGGACUAUGAAACUUCUUGAGGACUUUUCAGAGAUGGGGACUGAAAGGAACAGAAUGUGCCACUUUGGCAGGUGCACCAUUUUGAGCUGAAGGGAAUCAAGACCCAGCAGACUAAGGAGUUUUUACUGCUCCCUUAUCUGUCUAGAAGAAUUUAGACAGUAGGCUGGUGCUAGAAAGAGAGCUAUUACCAGAGGUAACUUUUUUUUUUUUUCUGUAAGUCUUAUCUGCAAGGCAGGGCAAACAUUGAUUAUCACACAUAUGCUUUUCUCACCUUCCUUCCCUUUUAAAUCCCUGGCCCCUAUCCAGUUCCUGAGCUCAGGAUAGUAUAUAAGCCUCAACUGUCUGUCUUUGAGUCUCUUAUUUUUAUGGAGCUCCCAUAACAUGUGCAAUUAAAUUUGUUUUUCUGUUAGAAUCUAUCUUAUGUAAAUUUAAUUAUGUACUGGACCAGCAGGAAAAAUUUUCUGCCUUUACAAUGUACACACACAUGCAUACCCCAAAGUAUUGCAAAAUUAAGAAAGGGAAAAAUCUUUUCUUGAGAUGAAUCAUUUACCUACUUUAUGGGUCUCAGACUUCUAAGUCACUACAGAGACAAUUGCAAGAUCCCUGUAACUCCAAAUGUGUAUGAGUGAGCAACUUGAAUGUAUUGGAGGAAUGUUCUAGAGAUUAGUAAAAUACACAUUAUUUUGAAAGUGAAAACAAUUUUUUCAAACUACAUAUUGAAACCAUUUUGAGCUUUUAAUUUUCCUUUUAUUUCUUCAAAGCUCUUAAAAUUAUAUUUGAAUUAAUGAAUGAUUUAAUCAAAGAAUUGGUUGAUUAAAAUGCAUUUUUGACUUCUAUACUCCUGAAGUUUAUGGGUGUUUAAAUGCAUAACUACUAAACAAAUUUCUGAAUUGGUUAAGAACUUCAAGAGUUUAAAUGUAUAACUGUCACUUCUAAUAAGAUGAAUCAGAAUCUGUUACUUACAGCUCAGUAAAACUCUUCCAGUCAUCUUCAGUAAUGGAUGGCCUGGUGUGACUGAGUGCGGUCAGUAAAUGCGACUGACUGAUGGCCAGGCUGGUUUUGGCUGGUCCUGGUUGGUGAAGGGAGUCAUCCUCCUUAAAAUGAAAAUGACAAAAAGUUACCUCAGGGACAUGAUUAAAAAGCAGCAGUCUUUUACUUUGACUGUUAUCUCUUUUUGUCAGUGUUUCAGGAGACUCUGUGUCCCUUUCUGAUAGGAAGCACACAGCGAUUUGACUGAUCAAUGAGUUUCAGUCCCUUGUUUAUAAAUAUAGCUCACCUACAAAUCAAAUAAAUGUAUAUCAAAAAAGGAAAUACAAUCUUUAAAAGUUUUACAAUGAUAAUGGAUGGGGAGAGAAAAGCCAUACUCCACUUUGGCUCCGGUAUCUGCUCUUGAUAACACUGAUAUCUGCUCUCAGUUGGUCUCUUUGUUCCUGGGUAAGUUCUUGGUAACCGUCUUGUGAAGCUGUUCUGAACACUGGAGGCCGUGAACACAACUGAUCUUUCCCAGGAGCAUCCUGAGUCAUGGAGCUUGGUGCAGACAGGCACAGUGAGCUCUGCAGGGUUAGGUGCAAUAAUGAGGAGGAGAGAGAAAAAAAGUAUGUAUUUAUCAAAGAUAAAGUAAAAAAUGUUAAAUACUAAAACCUGAAGAUGGACAAGCUUAUAAUUUAAUUAACUGAAGCUAAGCAAACUGCUUAUCUAUAAUAAUAAAAGCAUAAUAUGCUAA